rnacentral:rRNA from 1 species
AUUAGUGGCGGACGGGUGAGUAACGCGUGGAUAACCUGCCGUAUACAGGGGGAUAACACUUAGAAAUAGGUGCUAAUACCGCAUAAGCGCACGGUUCCGCAUGGAACAGUGUGAAAAACUCCGGUGGUAUACGAUGGAUCCGCGUCUGAUUAGCCAGUUGGCGGGGUAACGGCCCACCAAAGCGACGAUCAGCAGCCGGCCUGAGAGGGUGAACGGCCACAUUGGGACUGAGACACGGCCCAAACUCCUACGGGAGGCAGCAGUGGGGAAUAUUGCACAAUGGGGGAAACCCUGAUGCAGCGACGCCGCGUGAGUGAAGAAGUAUUUCGGUACGUAAAGCUCUAUCAGCAGGGAAGAAAAAAAGUCCUUUGGACUUUGGACGGUACCUGACUAAGAAGCCCCGGCUAACUACGUGCCAGCAGCCGCGGUAAUACGUAGGGGGCAAGCGUUAUCCGGAUUUACUGGGUGUAAAGGGAGCGUAGACGGCAGCGCAAGUCUGGAGUGAAAUGCCGGGGCCCAACCCCGGAACUGCUUUGGAAACUGUGCAGCUGGAGUGCAGGAGAGGUAAGCGGAAUUCCUAGUGUAGCGGUGAAAUGCGUAGAUAUUAGGAGGAACACCAGUGGCGAAGGCGGCUUACUGGAGUGUAACUGACGUUUGAGGCUCGAAAGCGUGG